rnacentral:rRNA from 1 species
GUCAACGGUCAUACCGCGCAUGUCCCUACCGGUUCUCGUCCGAUCACCGAAGUCAAGAUGCGCUGGGCACGGUUAGUACUUAGAUGGGUGACCGCUUGGGAACUCCGUGUGCUGUUGGCA